GAGACCUGUAUCUACAAUUGCUAACGAUUCUUUUAGGAGUCGAGCACAUUGUAGAGACUGCCUUGGAAACAAGGAGGAAGGCGCAGGCUACGGUAGGUCUGUAUGCUCCGAAUCUUCUGGGCUACACGCGCGCAACAAUGGUAAGGACAAUGUGAUGCAACUCCGAAAGGAGAAGCUAAUCCUCGAAACCUUAUCUUAGUUCAGAUUGAGGGUUGUAACUCACCCUCAUGACGCUGGAAUCCCUAGUAAUCAGAUGUUAUCAGCAUCUGGUGAAUAU
rnacentral:rRNA from 1 species